ACACGAUGGAACUGACUCCUGGACAAAAGCACAGAGUGCUCCUUUGAUCACUGCAGGUAGCUUGUUCGCCAAGACGACGGCCACUGUAUCUGUUACUGGGCAUAUUUAGAAGCAAGCCAUAGGGAGAUGUGAUAAAUACCUUUGGUGGCUUGACCUGAUGAGAUUCAAGAGGUGCCUGGAACUGCACAAGCAGUCAUGACGUUUGAGAUACCUUCAUAAACGAAAUGUGGCAGCAGAAGGCAUGUUUGGAGAGGGCAGCACAAAGAGACCAGGCUGCCAACCACCACAACUAUGAACAGACCUUUAAAGUGCAUGCAGACAGCACUGCAAAUAUAGCAUGCAUUACUAUUUGUGCAAGUCUUAAUGAGGGAGAUGAGAGGAGGGAGAUGAGGGAGGCUGGGUAGAAGAUUCACCAGUAUGAGAAGAGCCUCUCCAGUGUCCUCCUUGUCCACACCCUACAUCCUUUACUUCUGUAAGAUUAAAGCAGUAAU
rnacentral:lncRNA from 7 species